AAUUUGUGCAUUGGACACUUUUGCAACAACUCCUUAAAUCGCUCCCAAGCUUCAUACAAAUUAUCCCCCUUCAUUUUCUUAAAGGAGGUAAUGUCAUUUCUCAGCCU